UACGGAGGGGACUAGCGUUGUUCGGAAUUACUGGGCGUAAAGCGCACGUAGGCGGCUUUCUAAGUCAGGGGUGAAAUCCUGGAGCUCAACUCCAGAACUGCCUUUGAUACUGAGGAUCUUGAGUUCGGGAGAGGUGAGUGGAACUGCGAGUGUAGAGGUGAAAUUCGUAGAUAUUCGCAAGAACACCAGUGGCGAAGGCGGCUCACUGGCCCGAUACUGACGCUGAGGCACGAAAGCGUGGGGAGCAAACAGG
rnacentral:rRNA from 1 species